rnacentral:rRNA from 1 species
CCUACGGGUGGCAGCAGUGAGGAAUAUUGGUCAAUGCCCGUAAGACUGAACCAGCCAUGCCGCGUGAAGGUCAGUGCCCUAUGGGCGUUAAACUUCUUUUGUGCGGGAGCAAUAAUGGUCACGUGUGGCCAGACGAGAGUACCGUACGAAUAAGCAUCGGCUAACUCCGUGCCAGCAGCCGCGGUAAUACGGGGGAGGCAAGCGUUAGCUGGAUUUAUUGGGUUUAAAGGGUGCGUAGGCUGUGAGGUAAGUCAGCGGUGAAAUGCCCACGCUCAACGGGGUGAAGUGCCAUUGAUACUGGCUUGCUGGAGUGCGGAUGACGUGGGAGGAAUGUGUGGUGUAGCGGUGAAAUGCAUAGAUAUCACACAGAACACCGAUUGCGAAGGCAUCUAACGAACCCGCGAUUGACGCUGAUGCACGAAAGCGUGGGUAUCAAACAGGAUUAGAUACCCGGGUAGUC